rnacentral:rRNA from 1 species
AUUGAACGCUGGCGGCAUGCUUUACACAUGCAAGUCGAACGGCAGCACGGGCUUCGGCCUGGUGGCGAGUGGCGAACGGGUGAGUAAUACAUCGGAACGUACCCAGUAGUGGGGGAUAGCCCGGCGAAAGCCGGAUUAAUACCGCAUAUGCCCUGAGGGGGAAAGCGGGGGACCGAAAGGCCUCGCGCUAUUGGAGCGGCCGAUGGCUGAUUAGCUAGUUGGUGGGGUAAAGGCCUACCAAGGCGACGAUCAGUAGCUGGUCUGAGAGGACGACCAGCCACACUGGGACUGAGACACGGCCCAGACUCCUACGGGAGGCAGCAGUGGGGAAUUUUGGACAAUGGGCGAAAGCCUUAUCCAGCAAUGCCGCGUGUGCGAAGAAGGCCUUCGGGUUGUAAAGCACUUUUGUUUGGAAAGAAAAGGUUUGGGUUAAUACCCUGGACUGAUGACGGUACCAAUCGAAUAAGCACCGGCUAACUACGUGCCAGCAGCCGCAGUAA